UGGGCCAAUGAUGAGAGAAUGUCAAAAACCAAGAAUUGUGAUUCAUCCAGUUCUUUGUAUCUGAGACUCUUU
rnacentral:snoRNA from 10 species